AACAAAGACACAAUAUGGCUGUACUGUAUAACUAAAAGAGCAAUAUUUAGAAAACGAAUAUUUGAAAAUUAAUUAUGUGAUUAGUAGGCUAAUAAUGAGUCAAUAGUUUUGCCUGUUAGUUUUGCUUUAUAGAACAAUCUUAUUAUGGAUAUUUUUGUGAAGAGUGAUUUGUAAUUGGAUGGUAGAAGUGUAAAAUAUUAUUAAUUAAUUUAAUUUAAGUACAGUCAAAAUUGACUAUAAUUGUUGAAUGUUUUAUAUAUUUAUUUAUCUAUAUUUUAUUUGUGUUUUAGUAUUUGUUGGUGUGUAAAAAAAAAUAUUGUAGGACAAAAGUGCUUUCAGUAUAAGGUUAUAUAAGAAUGUGUUGUGUGUAUGAUUUAAUCAAUUAAAGUCAGUGAUAGAAGUGUCUGUUGUUUUAUUUAUAGAAAUGUAUAAGGUGUUGUAUAUUAAUUAUUAUCCUAAAAGUAAAAAAAUAAUAAAAGUAGGCUAUAUCUAAUUAUUUUUGUGGAACGUGGUCAAAAUUGUAUCAAUGUUUUAUUUAAACUAUAUAUUUAUUUAUUAAAAUGAUAUACAAUAGUCAUUAAAUAAAUAUUUAGUGAUCUAUAAAGAAUUGUGUUAGUAUUAUUUAAAACCAAAAAAUCUGGGGUAGCGAUAUUUUUUAUAGAUUGGUGAGAGCUAUGGAAAGAAAGAAAUGGACUUUAAGCACUGAAACAUGCGAUUUUGUAGCUAUAAUGUCAAUAUGUUGAAUUUUGUGGUAAAAUAUAUCUUGUUUAGUAAUUUGUUGUAUUGACAAGUCAAGCUAGUAGAUAUUUAUAAUAUUAUAGUGGCUUGAUUGGAUGUUUUUAAAUAAAGAUUUACAAAAACUAUGAUUGUGAAAGUGGAAGUCGUGACAUUUGCCUAGUUUGGUAGCCCAUACUCGGAAUUGGUCUGCAUUUAACUUAUCCAAGUACACACACACACAGUAGUGAGAAGUGAAGACACCGUGAACACAUAGAGCAGUGGGCAGCUAUAGAUCCUGCGCCCUGGGAGCAACUGAGGGGUUCAGCAGAACAGGUUAUUUUGCCAGGUGAGGGGGCGUGUUUCGGAGGGUAAGUGACGUCAAUGUAACCCUUUAUUUAAAGUGCUGAGUAUGACGGUUCUGGCACUCAGCUGGACUGUUUGUUGAAGUCUGUGUAAAAUGGAGAAAAUUGGUGAGAAGUAAAAAAUUUUUUAGAGCGGAACAAUGUUUUUAUUUUAUGUGUACCGAGUGUAUUACUCUUUAUUUUUGUAGUUGUUAAUCUUUAUAUUUUAUUUAUUUUGUUGGCACAGAAAGCAACAAGGUUGUUUCCAGGUUUGGGAAGAAAGACUUCCUUGUACCUAAAGGUCUGAAUGUUUGCUUCUUGACGGAUUCCAUGUGCCGUGGUUUGGACCAAUACUGUGAGGGCGCAUAUUGUUGGGUUCAUCCGGGAACUACUUUGGUCCGUUCAGCACAACAGCACGUUUAUCAUCUGAGAAGAGUAAACGGGGAUGCCUUGUUAAUCAUUCACAUUGGGACAAAUGAUGUCGCUAGUGGGGUUUCAGCGGAAACCAUCGUUAACCGAAUGGCAUUGCUUGUGGAACGUCUUCGUCACUCUUUUAAGUACAAACUGUAUUUCGCUAUUUGUUCUGUUUUGCCUCGUUAUGUUGAUGACAAGCAAACUAAACAUACAGUGAAGCGUUGCAAUAUAUUGUUGGAAAGAUGGUCUAGUGAGAUGGACAAUGUUGUUUUUUUGCGAACGUGGAGAGCCUUUGUGUCUGGAGGAUGUAUAUGUUCUGAAAUGUUCCGUCCAGAUGGACUUCACUUGAAUGUGAAAGGGAAAGAUCGUCUUUUCCAGUAUUUCAAACAUUUUUUGUGGAACUUUUGUAACUAUAUUCUUCGCUUUCCAAGCUUGCAGCAAUAAAUCUCUAUGGAAAUAA